rnacentral:rRNA from 1 species
GAUGAACGCUGGCGGCGUGCCUAAUACAUGCAUGUCGAGCGAAUGGAUUAAGAGCUUGCUCUUAUGAAGUUAUCGGCGGACGGGUGAGUAACACGUGGGUAACCUGCCCAUAAGACUGGGAUAACUCCGGGAAACCGGGGCUAAUACCGGAUAACAUUUUGAACCGCAUGGUUCGAAAUUGAAAGGCGGCUUCGGCUGUCACUUAUGGAUGGACCCGCGUCGCAUUAGCUAGUUGGUGAGGUAACGGCUCACCAAGGCAACGAUGCGUAGCCGACCUGGGAGGGUGAGCGGCCACACUGGGACUGAGCCACGGCCCAGACUCCUACGGGAGGCAGCAGUAGGGAAUCUUCCGCAAUGGACGAAAGUCUGACGGAGCAACGCCGCGUGAGUGAUGAAGGCUUUCGGGUCGUAAAACUCUGUUGUUAGGGAAGAACAAGUGCUAGUUGAAUAAGCUGACACCUUGACGGUACCUAACCAGAAAGCCACGGCUAACUACGUGCCAGCCGCCGCCGUAA